AUUGAACGCUGGCGGCAGGCUUAACACAUGCAAGUCGAGCGGAGAUGAGGUGCUUGCACCUUAUCUUAGCGGCGGACGGGUGAGUAAUGCUUAGGAAUCUGCCUAUUAGUGGGGGACAACAUUCCGAAAGGAAUGCUAAUACCGCAUACGCCCUACGGGGGAACGCAGGGGAUCUUCGGACCUUGCGCUAAUAGAUGAGCCUAAGUCGGAUUAGCUAGUUGGUGGGGUAAAGGCCUACCAAGGCGACGAUCUGUAGCGGGUCUGAGAGGAUGAUCCGCCGCACUGGGACUGAGACACGGCCCAGACUCCUACGGGAGGCAGCAGUGGGGAAUAUUGGACAAUGGGCGGGAGCCUGAUCCAGCCAUGCCGCGUGUGUGAAGAAGGCCUUAUGGUUGUAAAGCACUUUAAGCGAGGAGGAGGCUACUUUAGUUAAUACCUAGAGAUAGUGGACGUUACUCGCAGAAUAAGCACCGGCUAACUCUGUGCCAGCCGCCGCAGUAAUAC
rnacentral:rRNA from 1 species